rnacentral:lncRNA from 1 species
AAAAAUGCCAGUAAUAAAAAAAAAGAUUUGUAUGGUUCUUGUCAAUUGUCCUAAAAUUUUGUAUAUCUGAGUAAACUCCCUUAAAAAUAAAUAAAAAUAAAUAAAAAUAAGAGAGAAGCAUAUGGAAUUAUUCUUUUUUUCCGGGGAGGACAUCUGAUCAUUUCAUUCAUAUAUGUAGUGUAGAUUUGAAAUCAUAUUAAUAUUUCAGAAAAAUAUUUUGUUUAAUAUAAAUAAUACAGAAUAAAAUAAAAUAUUUUCUCUUGAACAUACUAUAUAAUUUUAAGAAAUAUAUAUAUAUAUGUUUUUAAACAUGUUUUGGCGUAUGUGAAAAAAAUUAGAUGUAUAUUUCAACAUGUAACAUAUAUAUAAAUGUUGUGUUGAAAAAAAUGUAAUGCAAAAAGAGGUGAAAAAUUUAUUAACAAAAUAUAAAACACAAAAAAAAAAGAGAGAGGCGAGAUGAGAGCUUAGGACACCCCUUCCCAAGCCAUUUCUCCAAAUCAAAAGGAUAUUUCUUUCAAAACCUAAGAUAACCAUUAGUGGUAAAUACCCUCUCAUAAGUAUUUAACAUAUAUAAUAAUAUUAUCAAUUAUUAUUAGAAAUAAAAUUUAAAAUAAAAUAAAAAAGAAAUAAACCAACAGAAAGUAGAUACGUUUGGAUUUGAGUCUUUCUAACAGUAGAAAAAGUUUCUCCAGCAAGAUACUAUCUCAUUC